rnacentral:snRNA from 1 species
AUAUAUAUAUAUAUAUAUAUACUAAAAUUGGAACGAUACAGAGAAGAUUAGCAUGGCCCCUGCACAAGGAUGACACGCAAAUUCGUGAAGCGUUCCAUAUUUUU